UUCCAGACUCCUACGGGAGGCAGCAGUGGGGAAUAUUGCACAAUGGGCGAAAGCCUGAUGCAGCAACGCCGCGUGAAGGAAGAAGGGUUUCGGCUCGUAAACUUCUAUCAACAGGGACGAAAGAAAUGACGGUACCUGAAUAAGAAGCCCCGGCUAACUCCGUGCCAGCAGCCGCGGUAAUACGGAGGAUGCGAGCGUUAUCCGGAUUUAUUGGGUUUAAAGGGUGCGUAGGCGGUCCGUUAAGUCAGCGGUAAAAUUGCGGGGCUCACCCCCGGCGAGCCGUUGAAACUGGCAGACUUGAGUUGGCGAGAAGUACGCGGAAUGCGCGGUGUAGCGGUGAAAUGCAUAGAUAUCGCGCAGAACUCCGAUUGCGAAGGCAGCGUACCGGCGCCAGACUGACGCUGAGGCACGAAAGCGUGGGGAUCGAACAGGAUUAGAUACCCCAGUAACU
rnacentral:rRNA from 1 species